UGAGGAGAUAAACUCAGAGAAGUUAUGUAACUUCGAUAAUAUCAUUCAGCAUGAAGGAGAGCUAGGACUUGAAUCCAAGAUUUGCUGAGUGCAAAGAAUAGACACUUACGGGACAGUUAAGAGCUUGGCAAGUAUCAGAAGGCCAGGAAAGAGUCUUUCUUCAUUGAAGGUCUCUGAUAAUGCCAGUGGAGUCUUGGAAUAUGGAACUUC
rnacentral:lncRNA from 1 species